rnacentral:rRNA from 1 species
CUGGAACUGCCAUCAAAACUUUUCAGCUAGAGUUUGAUAGAGGAAAGCAGAAUCUCUAGUGUAGAGGUGAAAUUCGUAGAUAUUAGAAAGAAUACCAAUUGCGAAGGCAGCUUUCUGGAUCAUUACUGACACUGAGGAACGAAAGCAUGGGUAGCGAAGAGGAUUAGAUACCCUCGUAGUCCAUGCCGUAAACGAUGUGUGUUAGACGUUGGAAAUUUAUUUUCAGUGUCGCAGCGAAAGCGAUAAACACACCGCCUGGGGAGUACGACCGCAAGGUUAAAACUCAAAUGAAUUGACGGGGACCCGCACAAGUAGUGGAGCAUGUGGUUUAAUUCGAAGAUACGCGCAGAACCUUACCAACACUUGACAUGUUCGUCGCGACUUUAAGAGAUUAAAGUUUUCGGUUCGGCCGGACGAAACACAGGUGCUGCAUGGCUGUCGUCAGCUCGUGUCGUGAGAUGUUGGGUUAAGUCCCGCAACGAGCGCAACCCUCACUUUUAGUUGCCAUCAUUAAGUUGGGCACUCUGAAAGAACUGCCAGUGAUAAGCUGGAGGAAGGUGGGGAUGACGUCAAGUCCUCAUGGCCCUUACGUGUUGGGCUACACACGUGCUACAAUGGUAUCUACAACAGGAAGCAAGACGGCGACGUUAAGCAAAUCCCUAAAAGAUACCUCAGUUCGGAUUGCACUCUGCAACUCGAGUGCAUGAAGCUGGAAUUACUAGUAAUCGUGGAUCAGCGUGCCACGGUGAAUGCGUUCCCGGGUCUUGUACACACCGCCCGUCACACCAUGGGAGUUGGUUCUACCUUAAGGCAAGGUUUCAAACCCUUGACCACGGUAUAGUCAGCGACUGGGGUGAAGUCGUAACAAGGUAAC